rnacentral:rRNA from 1 species
UACAGAGGGUGCAAGCGUUAAUCGGAUUUACUGGGCGUAAAGCGCGCGUAGGCGGCUAAUUAAGUCAAAAUGUGAAAUCCCCGAGCUUAACUUGGGAAUUGCAUUCGAUACUGGUUAGCUAGAGUGUGGGAGAGGAUGGUAGAAUUCCAGGUGUAGCGGUGAAAUGCGUAGAGAUCUGGAGGAAUACCGAUGGCGAAGGCAGCCAUCUGGCCUAACACUGACGCUGAGGUGCGAAAGCAUGGGGAGCAAACAGGG